rnacentral:lncRNA from 1 species
CAGCGGCAUGGCCAUUAUAUAUACACACACAACAUGCGAAGCUGUGAAUCAUGGUUGUUCGUUGAACAAGCUCGGUUUUCUAGCAACUUGGUUUGAGUUAAAUGUGUUGUAUCUUAUUUUAGUCUCGAUUCUCCCCUACAAUGCAGAAAGUCAACGUUUCAAGAUUUUUGUCUUUUUGUGUGUACACAGCCACGCAUAUUUUCUCGUGCUACUUACGUUUCGUUCAAAAUACAUGUCGCUUUAUAGUUGCAUACAAGGGAUUGAGGAUAGAUUGUGAAAAACUAAGGUUACAAAAGCUGAUGACAGUUUGGCGACUUGUAUUUUCGGUGGAUUGCGUAGUCGUCUCUGAUGUCAAAAGUGUAUUAUAUAUGCCGCCCUAUAAAAUACAAAAUCCAUAAUUAAUAAACUUAAAUAAACGCAAAUGAUUCAUAGAAAUUUGAAGUUGUGUACAUACAGAUAUCCCCCCACAAACAAAGCACCUCCAAGGGUCCUCCAAUAAAAUAUUUCCCAAUACUCCAUCCGUUUAUGUUUAUAAGGCAUGGUAUAACUUCGCAUGGUCUUCCAAAUUAUACUUUGACUAUUCAUUUAUCUAUCUU